rnacentral:rRNA from 1 species
AAUAAGCUAUUUAAGAGCGUAAGGUGGAUGCCUUGGCUCUCAGAGGCGAUGAAGGACGUGAUAAGCUGCGAUAAGCUACGGGGAUUGGCACACACAGUUUGAUCCGUAGAUUUCCGAAUGGGGCAACCCACUAUAUUGAAGAUAUAGUAUCCGUUAAGGAAGCAAACCCAGGGAACUGAAACAUCUAAGUACCUGGAGGAAUAGAAAACAAAAGUGAUUCCGCUAGUAGUGGCGAGCGAACGCGGAACAGCCCAAACCAAAAUUGUUUCGGCAA